rnacentral:rRNA from 1 species
GGAAAGUUGCAAAGAUCUUUGAAGAGAGAGUUCAAGAGAACGUGAAAUCGUUAAAGUGGAACCGGAGAGAGUUAACAUAACUUGGUAGCUAUAUUCUCUAAAGUCGCUUAACUGUGGCUCUGGGGGGUGGACGCUACCUGUUGUUGCACUGACUGCGUUGAUUGUGCUUUCCGAACAGUAUAGUGUUGCCCACUUUGUGGUGUCUUGCUUUCUGGGAGGUUUGUCAUGAUUAACGUAAAGCCAAUUCCCUUUGGAGUCAGUGUGAAAGUUAACCACCUUUCCGACCCGUCUUGAAACACGGACCGAGGAGUGUAAUUUAUACGCGAGUCAAGGGGUGGUGAAAACCCUAGGGGCGGAAUGAAAGUAAAGGCCGGUUAACCGGUUGACAUGGGAUCCGCUCUUCGGAGCGGCGCACCAUGGCCCUGUCUUGUCUGCUUGCAGAUGGGCAGCGGUAGAGCGUAUAGUUUGCGACCCGAAA